CCUACGGGAGGCAGCAGUGAGGAAUAUUGGUCAAUGGACGAGAGUCUGAACCAGCCAAGUAGCGUGAAGGAUGACUGCCCUAUGGGUUGUAAACUUCUUUUAUAAAGGAAUAAAACGCGGCACGUGUGCCUUUUUGCAUGUACUUUAUGAAUAAGGAUCGGCUAACUCCGUGCCAGCAGCCGCGGUAAUACGGAGGAUCCGAGCGUUAUCCGGAUUUAUUGGGUUUAAAGGGAGCGUAGAUGGGUUGUUAAGUCAGUUGUGAAAGUUUGCGGCUCAACCGUAAAAUUGCAAUUGAUACUGGCAGUCGUGAGUACAUUUGAGGUAGGCGGAAUUCGUGGUGUAGCGGUGAAAUGCUUAGAUAUCACGAAGAACCCCGAUUGCGAAGGCAGCUUACUAAACUGUGACUGACAUUGAUGCUCGAAAGUGUGGGUAUCAAACAGGAUUAGAUACCCCUGUAGUC
rnacentral:rRNA from 1 species